rnacentral:rRNA from 1 species
GACGAACGCUGGCGGCGUGCUUAACACAUGCAAGUCGAACGAAGUGGCGAACGGGUGAGUAACGCGUAAUCAACCUGCCCUUCAGAGGGGGACAACAGUUGGAAACGACUGCUAAUACCGCAUACUGAAGGAGGGGAGUGCGUCUGAUUCGCUAGUUGGAGGGGUAACGGCCCACCAAGGCGAUGCUCAGUAGCCGGUCUGAGAGGAGUGACGGCCAAAUUGGGACUGGGACACGGCCCAGACUCCUACGGGAGGCAGCAGUGGGGAAUCUUCCGCAAUGGACGAAAGUCUGACGGAGCAACGCCGCGUGAGGGAUGACGGCCUUCGGGUUGUAAAGCUCUGUUAAUCGGGACGCGGUACCGGAAUAGAAAGCCACGGCUAACUACGUGCCAGCAGCCGCGGUAAUAC